rnacentral:lncRNA from 1 species
GUGGACUAAGACAUUGCUGUCACUAGCUGAUUGUCUCCCUGCCUACACCGUGAGCUCCACGGGGCAGAGACGAUGGAAUCUGUUUUGUUUUCACUCCCAGAAGAGUGGGCUGUAUGCAGCAGGUGCUCAGACUGAUUUCUCGACAAAGAAACUUACAGCGAUCGUGUUUUCAGAAUAAAAAAGAGUCAUAUGACUAGAAGGGGAGUUUUCCCCUGAUUUGUUCAUUUAUGUACAUAAAAGCAGAUAAAAGUAAAACAUUUCAUCUUGUUUUUUAUUAGGCUUAAGAAAGCAACCCAAUGAAGAAAUUUGAAACGAUUGAGAUCGGGCCUGUGGGGAAAGCAGGCUGCCGCCUUGAAAGGGGUGCCGUCCCUUGGGGAAUCACAGCCCAGGGACACGGAAGUGGCCAGCCCAGGCCGGGCAGAAGGGGAGCAGAAGACCUGCUACGACACAGUUCCACAGCGGCCUCAGCACCCACCCGCCCUCUCUCCUCAUCAAUUCGCAGUCCCAGCUUCUGCACCAAGUCUCAGCUUUCCCGAGAAGCAGCUUUGGGUGUUUUAGCAAUCGUUUUGGGGCCUCCUCUGACUGCUGUCAGAAGCUGUUGGUGGUGCAAGAGAAAGGAGCCAGCAUGUUCACCUGCCCAGUUGCGGAAGUGUGGGCUGAUGCUACAGGCAGUGAGCUUUAAGAACUGCAGAUUUUAUAUUUUUCUGGACGGCUGGACUCUACCACAGGGGUGAAGCGCACAUUUUGUUGCAGUAAAGCAAGACAUUUUGUGAACUCUGUGGCCUCUGGACAAGUUCCACCAUUUGUAAGUCCUCCAAAAAUGGAUCGCUGCCGCCUGGUGCCUCCAGGCUCACUACAACUUUUGCACAGCACGUGAGAGUCCCUGUUAGGGUGCUAGUGACUGAGGGGUUUGGACUGGGGGCUUGGUUUAUCUCCUUGGGGUUCCCCCUUAGUCAUUCCAUUUGAGAUCAUGGAGCAGCCCGUUGGGCCCCAUGGAAAGCUCCAGGUGGGAAGCGUGUGAGAUGGAGCUGGACCAUGGAGGUCUGAAGUAAGCACUGAACCGAGAAUGAGUUCCCUGAUCCUAAACGUAGGAGGGUUGCUGCUUUGAGACUCUGUAUUCGGCCAUGUAUUCAUUCAUACUUUCCAAGUGCUUGCUAGUAAUCCGGGGCAGUGAGGUGGGGCUGGGAGACAAGUUCUCUGGGGUCUGUGACUUCCCAUCUCUGUGCCUCAGUAGCCUUCAUGCUACCGCCACAGUCCCCAGUCCAAGUUGCCAUCUUCUGCAGCCUGAACAUCUGCAGCCACCUCCCAAUUGGUCUAUUGGCUUCUGUGCUCAGCCUUUCUCCUCACAGAGAGAUCUGAGAACAAACCCUCAAUAAACAAAUCCUCAAAUAAACAAAAUCCUCAAUAAACAAAAUCCUCAAAUACCAUCAUCCCUCGAUCAAAGAUUCCGAAUUACUUCUCAUCGCACUCAGUUCAAAUUCCUUAAACCUUACAGUACCCCUUUGCCUUUCCAUUCUGUCUCUCUCUCUCCUCUCUCUCUCUCUCUCUCUAACCAGGGAUCAAACUCAGGACCUUGCACUUGCAAAACAGGCAGCAGGCACCACUGAGCUAAAUCCUGGGCCGCUCCUUACUCUCUUUUCUGGUCUCUUGGCUUUCUUGCUCAUUUCUUCCGCUGGGCCUUUGCACUGGCUCUGUUUGGAAUGUUCUUCUCUGAGAUGGCCACUUGAUGCUUUUCUUUGCUGUAUCUCCUGGGAGAGGAUUAUAAUCCUUUCUAAAGCAAAGGCCCCAGACUAGGAAUCUUUGUCCUUCACAGCAUUUAGUAAGGCCCAUUGCAUUUAGGAGCUACCCAGUAAAACACUUGAUAAUGCAAAUAGACAAAAAUAUAAAGGACAUGACAUGCUGGGAAAAAUCCCUGCCCAAAGUU